rnacentral:rRNA from 1 species
CUUUCUUUGCUGGCGACCGGCGCGCGGGUGAGUAACACGUAUCCAACCUGCCCUUUACUCGGGGAUAGCCUUUCGAAAGAAAGAUUAAUACCCGAUAGCAUAAUGAUUCCGCAUGGUUUCAUUAUUAAAGGAUUCCGGUAAAGGAUGGGGAUGCGUUCCAUUAGGUUGUUGGUGAGGUAACGGCUCACCAAGCCUUCGAUGGAUAGGGGUUCUGAGAGGAAGGUCCCCCACAUUGGAACUGAGACACGGUCCAA